CCCACUCCUAUGCUGUCUGUAGACACUGUCAUAAACAAAUGUCAGAAGACUAUUAUUUAUUUUGUGCUAACAGCAAUUUUUUUUUCCUGAGGUUCCUGGCUCUUUGGGAAUAUGAUUCUCCUCUCUGAGCUGAUUCUGAUUGGAAGGCACCAUUUUCAUGUUCUAAGCAAAGGCAGAACCACAUUAUUAGCCUUAAACAAAGGGACAUAAUCAUUUUAGAAACCUCUAAAAUAGCAUUAAUAGCAACAAAUGGAGAUUCCUUUAUACAGCCAUCCCAAAGACACGGAUGCUUCAGUGUAAAGGACUUAUUUUUCCUCUUGCCUUUCCUCCUCCCAGUGUUGUCUGUCUUCAUGGUGAUGUGAAGGGACCCACUGGCCAGAAGAUUCAUCAUUCUCUGCACGCUGGCAGGAAAUAAGGAGUUGCCAAGCACUAACCAGAGAGUGAACGGAAAUUGUUGAAGGACGGAAGAAGAAAAUUAGAUAUAGGCUGUCAGUGCACAUGUUUUUUGCACUAAAUUAUAAACAAUAUACUGUUAAUAUUUAAAUCAUGAAGGAAUACCAGAAUAAAAAAUAUGUGUCCUUGCUUUUCUAUCAUUUCACUUUCUCUUCACCAAGUCAGUAUCAAAAGUAUGCUGUCUUUGUGCUCCAUGUCAUCAGGCAUAUGCACAUCUGCAAGUAUAUAACACUGUAGAGAUAUUAAAGGCAAAUAGGAAGCAUUCAGAAAACGUCAUGAACAUCAAAUGUCAAUUGCAACACAAGAUUUUGAUACAACUCUUGAUUUGACUGGAUUACUUCUCAACCAUCAGUAAUGCUCCAUUGUGGGAGCCUGUGUCUCAACAGUUCACACCUGCCUUUUACUCCACUGGGUUGUGAAGAUUCACGGAAGAUGACAGAAAGGGGUAGAAAUAAGCUAAAAUAAACCUUAGAGGACGGCCCCA